UGGGGAAUAUUGGACAAUGGGGGCAACCCUGAUCCAGCCAUGCCGCGUGAGUGAUGAAGGCCUUAGGGUUGUAAAGCUCUUUUGGCGGGGACGAUAAUGACGGUACCCGCAGAAUAAGCCCCGGCUAACUUCGUGCCAGCAGCCGCGGUAAUACGAAGGGGGCUAGCGUUGUACGGAAUCACUGGGCGUAAAGCGCACGUAGGCGGACUUUCAAGUCAGGGGUGAAAUCCCGGGGCUCAACCUCGGAACUGCCUUUGAUACUGUUGGUCUCGAGUCCGGAAGAGGUGGGUGGAAUUCCUAGUGUAGAGGUGAAAUUCGUAGAUAUUAGGAAGAACACCGGUGGCGAAGGCGGCCCACUGGUCCGGUACUGACGCUGAGGUGCGAAAGCGUGGGGAGCAAACA
rnacentral:rRNA from 1 species